rnacentral:rRNA from 1 species
UACGUAGGGUGCAAGCGUUUAAUCGGAAUUACUGGGCGUAAAGCGUGCGCAGGCGGUUUUGUAAGUCUGUCGUGAAAUCCCCGGGCUUAACCUGGGAAUGGCGAUGGAGACUGCAAGGCUAGAAUCUGGCAGAGGGGGGUAGAAUUCCACGUGUAGCAGUGAAAUGCGUAGAGAUGUGGAGGAACACCGAUGGCGAAGGCAGCCCCCCUGGGCUAAGAAUUGACGCUCAUGCACGAAAGCGUGGGGAGCAAACAGG